CAGCCGCCGCGGUAAUACCGGCGGCCCGAGUGGUGGCCGCUAUUAUUGGGCCUAAAGCGUCCGUAGCCGGGCCCGUAAGUCCCUGGCGAAAUCCCACGGCUCAACCGUGGGGCUUGCUGGGGAUACUGCGGGCCUAGGGACCGGGAGAGGCCGAGGGUAUUCCCGGGGUAGGGGUGAAAUCCUGUAAUCCCGGGAGGACCACCUGUGGCGAAGGCGCUCGGCUGGAACGGGUCCGACGGUGAGGGACGAAGGCCAGGGGAGCGAACCGGAUUAGAUACCCUGGUAGUCCUGGCUGUAAACGAUGCGGACUAGGUGUCGGGCAAGCUAAGGGCUUGUCCGGUGCCGCAGGGAAGCCGUUAAGUCCGCCGCCUGGGGAGUACGGCCGCAAGGCUGAAACUUAAAGGAAUUGGCGGG
rnacentral:rRNA from 1 species